ACAGACUACCUCAAUGGUAAUACAGAAGAUAAGAUGAUAACAGGGAUGGUGGCAUACAUAAGACUACCUCAAUGGUAAUACAGAAGAUAAGAUGAUAACAGGGAUGGUGGCAUACAUAAGACUACCUCAAUGGUAAUACAGAAGAUAAGAUGAUAACAGGGAUGGUGGCAUACAUAAGGUAAAGAAAGGUAGACUGUUCGAUUAAAGGCAAAUAACACUUUUAACCUCA